UUUUCAAUUUUGUAUUUGCAUUUUUCAAAUAAAUCACAUCCUUGUGAUUAAAGACGUUGUCUAAGAACUUAACGUAGACCAUUAUCACUGUUAUUAACUGUUUAAACUAAAUUGCAUAGAAUUGGGUGAGAAGAUUUUUACAAUUCCUUCACCUUGAACGCCUUCAUCUACACCACAAAUCCUGGAAAACCAUCGCUGCUUUGUACCUUCGUAAGCGUUAUAUCCGCUGCGUUUCGGCCUCUUUUUAAACCGUACAAAAGAAUUGCUCAAAUUUGCUUGUUUUCUGACUUUAAUUAAGUAGUUUAUAUUAAAACAUACAGAAUACUAAAGACCGUAUUUUCUGAUUAUACUUUUAUUUAGUCUUUCGACACACUAAAGUUUUUUCAGUAGGUUAUAAAUCGUGUUUUGCUAACGAUCCCUGUGUGUACAAAUCUUAGUCUCCUUAUCUUCAAUUUUUUACAAGGAUAUGCGCAACACUGACUAGAUAGUGACCAACCACUUUCAUUCACGGUCGGUUAGUUUAACCUUCAACCUUCGUGUCGUAAACACGGUAAUUUUCAUCUAGCACGUUGUUCCAGUUAUGUAACCUGUGCAGUGCAACAUACCAUCCCAAAGUGCUAUUUGAUGGAGUGAAAUGGUGAAUGCAGAUAGAAUUUUCAACAAAGAGAGAUUGAUAUCGAUCUUCCAGCUCGUCGCUCGUCUGUCAUUUCAUCUUGUCAUUCAAUUGUGUUCGGUCCUCGAGAAGACGAUGUACCACCAUUUUUGCUGUCCAUAAAUGGAAACAAAGCCUGAAAGCUUGCUUUGAGAUUACAUCCUUGGAUUCGAGGGACAAACAGUACUUGCAGAUUUGUGGCAAUCAGACAUAUUUUUAUUUCCAAGUAUGCUUCUAAUGAGCUGGUCAAAAAAUUCAUAGGAUACAGGGAGAGGAUAAUUCAAAUGGCCACGAAACGCGGGGAAGCAGAACCCCAAUCAUGCUUCUUUUUGUCGGUCUUGGACAGGGAUGCAUUUAAAUGUAUUAAAUGAACAAGGAUUCAAAACCUGCAGAAGUGGAGCCCCUUUAAUUUUCCCUCCCCUUGGGCGUGAAGGUGCAAUUUCCAGAAGAUAUAUGCAAUCCAAAUUACACUAAUGCAUAAAAGGAUGGUUGCGAUGCGAUGUUUGGCUUAUUUCACUUAUUUCCUUUCAUCAGCAUCUACUAAGGAAUAAAAUUCGAGCACCGUAUAGUGAUACUUAAGAUCGCCUGACAAAUGGGAGAGAAAUAAAGUUAAGGUUGAUGGGACUGAAACAAUAUCUACAGUGUUUGGUGGACUACAUUCUUGAUUUGCUGUUUUCGUCUUCACCUUGCAACAUUAUGCAGUUAAUUUUCAAGUGAUGAGUGAGAGCAACUGAAGAUUUAUGACAAUUCCACUGAAAUAAGAAAUUUUCGGCAUUGGCAUUCCUCUUUGAUUUGAUUUACAUUUCACACCUGCAUACUUUGGAACAUUACGGUCUACAGUUAAUUAAGGUCGACGUUGGAGAAGACAAAGAUGACCCCAUAGUUAAAAUAGUUCUCUAUCUUGCAUGCACUGUGUAGUAGAAUUUAUCAAGUUCAUUUGAUUCAAAUUAGUUUUUUUACAGUUUAUUUUAUUUAAAUUAGUUUUUUUAUUUUGCAUGCUUAAUUUUGUUCAUUUA
rnacentral:lncRNA from 1 species